ensembl:lncRNA
AAUAAUAAUAAUAAUAAUAAUAAUAAUUAUAUAUUAAUGGAUGAUAACACUUUAAACAGUAAUAUAGAUCUAUAUAAUAUAUUAUAUGUUGAUAUAUUAAAAAAAUCGGCUUUUACUUAUAAUAAAAAUAUACAUAUAAAGAAAAAGAAAAAACAAUAUAAGUUUUAUCCAAAGUAUAAUAUGUCACAAGAUUUUAAUUUUAAAAUAAAUUUGUUGUAUGGAUAUAUUUUUACAAGAAUGACAAGGUAUAAAUUAUUUCACAAGUGUUUAAUUAGAAUGGUAAAAGAAAAAAAUAGGAAACUUCAAAAAAAGAAGUUGAAAAGUUCUAUUAGUAAUAACGGAGGAACUAAUAAUGAUGGUGAUAACUUUAUACCAAACAUGGAUGACAUUAACAACAUGUCGAACACACAAAACGCGCAGUACGCAAGCAUCCGUUCUAAAAAAAGAACGUUUUCAUUUACUCAACAAACCAAUAAAAAAAAAAAAAAAAAAAAAAAACACAUUAAUACAUUAACCAUAAAGUAUAUCUUAAAAAAUUUAUAUUUGAAUGAUUAUUUAAAAUUAAUAAGUAUAGGAAUUAAACUUAACUAUAUUGAAAAUUACCUAUUUAAUGUGAGAAAGAAAUUAAAAAUGAAGCAUCUUCCACCAAUGCUAUUUGAAUUUUUGACAUCUUAUUCUUUACUAACUUGUAAAAAUCAAAAUUUGAUUGAAAAUUUUAUUUUAAAUCAAAAUAAAAACACAUAUUUUGAUAAUUAUAAUAAUUAUGAACAUAUUAAAGAAAAAAUACUUUCGUGUAAUCAAUCAAAUCAAUUAUUUUUACAGAGAGAUUCUUCUUAUGUUGAUUCUGCUACUAAUAUGCUACGUCAGCAGCAAGAUUGUGACAAAAGCAGUGACACAAUUAUAUCAAAGGAAAGUUACAAUAAUUGUGACGAUAGUAAUACCAAAAAAAACAUUCUAUGCAAUGAAGAUAUAAAUAUACUAAAAAAUUAUCCAAAAAUAUCUAUAUUUUAUUUAUUAUACAAAAUAUUAAAAUUUUUACAUUAUAUAAACGCAAUUCAAUAUAAGUUCAAAGACAAUAAUAAAAAAAAAAAUAAAAAAUUUUGUUCUAAUGUAGAAAAUAAUGAUUAUAAUAUAUUGAAACAAAAUAAUUUAGUUGUAACUUAUAACGAUUUAAAAAAACCAAAUUUAAAAAUUUAUAUUAAAAAAAAUUUAAGUAUUUGUUUAUUUUCUUAUAAAAAAAAACAUUCAACAUAUUAUAAUAUGAUGAGAUACAAUCAUUUUGAGGAAUAUUAUUACAAUUUAUAUGUAAGUUUAUUUUUUUAUUUUUAUUUUUUUUUUUUUUUGGUAUAUAUGUAUGUGUACCGUUAUCCUGGUCUUGUUUUGUUUUGAAUGUUUAUAUGUGCAUUAUAAUGUAUAUAUGACAAUACAUUUGUACAUGUAUACAUACAUACAUAUAUACACACAUAUAUAUAUAUAUAUAAUACGAAAUAAUUAUACACAAAUGACCCUAAAGGGACCUAUUCCCUUACAGAAUGCUGUUCAUAUGUAUCAACCAACACUUAGCAUAGUAUUUUUCCUAUUUUUGCAUAUAGAC